UACGAGAGGCCCAAACGUUAUUCGGAAUUACUGGGCUUAAAGAGUUCGUAGGCGGCAUUGCAAGUAGGGUGUGAAAGCCCUCGGCUCAACCGAGGAAUUGGCGCCCUAAACUACUGGGCUUGAGGAACGCAGAGGUAAGCGGAACUUACGGUGGAGCGGUGAAAUGCGUUGAUAUCGUAAGGAACACCAGGAGCGAAAGCGGCUUGACUGGGCGUUUUCGUGACGCUGA
rnacentral:rRNA from 1 species